rnacentral:rRNA from 1 species
UACGUAGGUGGCAAGCGUUGUCCGGAAUUAUUGGGCGUAAAGCGCGCGCAGGCGGUUUGUCGCGUCUGCUGUGAAAACUCGGGGCUUAACUCCGGGCCUGCAGUGGGUACGGGCAGACUAGAGUGCGGUAGGGGAGACUGGAAUUCCUGGUGUAGCGGUGAAAUGCGCAGAUAUCAGGAGGAACACCGGUGGCGAAGGCGGGUCUCUGGGCCGUAACUGACGCUGAGGAGCGAAAGCGUGGGGAGCAAACAGG